GAUGAACGCUAGCGGCAGGCUUAACACAUGCAAGUCGAGGGGCAACACGGGUAGCAAUACCUGGUGGCGACCGGCGCAAGGGUGCGUAACGCGUGAGCAACAUGCCCUAUACAGGGGGAUAAUCCAGGGAAACUUGGUCUAAUAUCCCAUAGUAUUUAGAGGUGGCAUCACCACUAAAUUAAAGCUUCGGUGGUAUAGGAUUGGCUCGCGUGACAUUAGCUGGAUGGUGGGGUAACGGCUCACCGUGGCAAUGAUGUCUAGGGGUUCUGAGAGGAAGGCCCCCCACACUGGGACUGAGACACGGCCCAGACUCCUACGGGAGGCAGCAGUGAGGAAUAUUGGACAAUGGAUGGAAAUCUGAUCCAGCCAUGCCGCGUGCAGGAAGACAGCCCUAUGGGUUGUAAACUGCUUUUAAUGGGAGCAAUAAGGUCUACGUGUAGACUGAUGAGAGUACCAUAUGAAUAAGCAUCGGCUAAC
rnacentral:rRNA from 1 species